rnacentral:rRNA from 1 species
UGCCCAACAGCUAGCCCACUAAAGCAAACUCAACGAACCCCUGUUAAUAACCCCUAAAUACCCUAGUAUUUAAAUUAAACAAACCAUUUUUCCCCCUUAGUAUAGGCGAUAGAAAAGGACAAACGGCGCAAUAGAGAAAGUACCGCAAGGGAACGCUGAAAGAGAAAUGAAACAACCCAGUGAAGCCUAAAAAAGCAGAGAUUAAAACUCGUACCUUUUGCAUCAUGAUUUAGCAAGUGUACAUCAAGCAAAGCGAACUUUAGUUUGACGUCCCGAAACUACGUGAGCUACUCCAAGACAGCCUAUUAAUAGGGCGUACCCGUCUCUGUAGCAAAAGAGUGGGGAGAGCUUUGAGUAGAGGUGACAAACCUACCGAACCUAGUUAUAGCUGGUUGUCCAGGAAAUGAAUAGAAGUUCAGCCUCUUGGCUUCUCUUUUCACACUAGUUUAACCCCUAUUGAUGCCUUAAAGAAACCGAGAGAGUUAGUCAAAGGGGGUACAGCCCCUUUGAAUCAAGACACAACUUUAUUAGGAGGGUAAAGAUCAUA